UACGGGGGGGGCAAGCGUUGUUCGGAAUUACUGGGCGUAAAGGGCUCGUAGGUGGCCAACUAAGUCAGACGUGAAAUCCCUCGGCUUAACCGGGGAACUGCGUCUGAUACUGGAUGGCUUGAGUUUGGGAGAGGGAUGCGGAAUUCCAGGUGUAGCGGUGAAAUGCGUAGAUAUCUGGAGGAACACCGAUGGCGAAGGCAGGUCUCUGGGCAUUAACUGACGCUGAGGAGCGAAAGCGUGGGGAGCGAACAGG
rnacentral:rRNA from 1 species